rnacentral:rRNA from 1 species
UACGUAGGGUGCAAGCGUUAAUCGGAAUUACUGGGCGUAAAGUGUGCGCAGGCGGCUUCGCAAGUCGAGUGUGAAAUCCCCGAGCUUAACUUGGGAAUUGCGCUCGAAACUACGGAGCUGGAGUGUGGCAGAGGAAGGUGGAAUUCCACGUGUAGCGGUGAAAUGCGUAGAGAUGUGGAGGAACACCGAUGGCGAAGGCAGCCUUCUGGGCCAACACUGACGCUCAUGCACGAAAGCGUGGGGAGCAAACAGG